UACGAAGGGGGCUAGCGUUGCUCGGAAUUACUGGGCGUAAAGCGCACGUAGGCGGUCUUUUAAGUCGGGGGUGAAAUCCUGGAGCUCAACUCCAGAACUGCCUUCGAUACUGGAAGACUCGAGUCCGGGAGAGGUGAGUGGAACUGCGAGUGUAGAGGUGAAAUUCGUAGAUAUUCGCAAGAACACCAGUGGCGAAGGCGGCUCACUGGCCCGGUACUGACGCUGAGGUGCGAAAGCGUGGGGAGCAACAGGGAU
rnacentral:rRNA from 1 species